rnacentral:rRNA from 1 species
GAUGAACGCUGGCGGCGUGCCUAACACAUGCAAGUCGAGCGAAGCGGGGACGGGUGAGUAACACGUGGAUAACCGCCGAUAAGACUGGGAUAACUUCGGGAAACCGGAGAUAACCCGGAUACUUACAGAUGGAGCCGAGCUGCAUUAGCAAGUUGGUAAGGUAACGGCUUACCAAGGCAACGAUGCCUAGCCGGCCUGAGAGGGUGAUCGGCCACACUGGAACUGAGACACGGUCCAGACUCCUACGGGAGGCAGCAGUAGGGAAUCUUGCGCAAUGGGCGAAAGCCUUACGCAGCAACGCCGCGUGUGUGAUGAAGGUCUUCGGAUCGUAAAGCUCUUUUAGUAGGGAGGCGGUACCUAAUCAGAAAGCAACGGCUAACUACGUGCCAGCAGCCGCGGUAAUAC